GCCUGGGUAGCUACCCAGUUGGUUGAGCAUCAGACUUUUAAUCUGAGGGUCCAGGGUUUAAGUCCCUAGUUAGGUA
rnacentral:tRNA from 1 species